rfam:Gymnopus luxurians FD-317 M1 unplaced genomic scaffold GYMLTscaffold_7, whole genome shotgun sequence.
GCCCGCCUAGCUCAAUCGGAUAGAGCGUCAGACUCUUAUUAUGAGAAGCAGGAUCUGAAGGCUGCAAGUUCAACCCUCGUGGUGGGCU